rnacentral:rRNA from 1 species
GACGAACGCUGGCGGCGUGCUUAACACAUGCCAGUCGAACGGAAAGGCCCUGCUUUUGUGGGGUGCUCGAGUGGCGAACGGGUGAGUAACACGUGAGUAACCUGCCCUUGACUUUGGGAUAACUUCAGGAAACUGGGGCUAAUACCGGAUAGGAGCUCCUGCUGCAUGGUGGGGGUUGGAAAGUUUCGGCGGUUGGGGAUGGACUCGCGGCUUAUCAGCUUGUUGGUGGGGUAGUGGCUUACCAAGGCUUUGACGGGUAGCCGGCCUGAGUGGGUGACCGGCCACAUUGGGACUGAGGUACGGCCCAGACUCCUACGGGAGGCAGCAGUGGGGAAUAUUGCACAAUGGGCGGAAGCCUGAUGCAGCAACGCCGCGUGCGGGAUGACGGCCUUCGGGUUGUAAACCGCUUUCGCCUGUGACGAAGCGUGAGUGACGGUACUGGGUAAAGAAGCACCGGCUAACUACGUG